ACUGUCGCCACGGCAGCGGAGAGGCGGGAGCGCGCGGGCCGCGGAGGCGCGGAGCGCAACCGCGGGCGGGGGGCUGGAGAGGCGGGUUCCCGCCCUGCGCGCGCGCAGCAGGCUGAGCCCGGAGCGCCGAGCCCCGGCUAGAACAGUGUUAAGUGAAAAAGCAUUGACUUCGGAGCCAAGACCCACCUCUUCACUGAUUGGAUAUUGUGCAAAUCAUCUUACCUCUCUGGAUCUCAGUUGCGUGAUCUGUAAAAAGGAGAUACAAAUUCUUUAUCUAUCUGAAGAUGAGGUGGAGGAUCAUCUUACUACAAUAUUGUUUUCUCUUGGUUUCCUGUAUACUUACUGCUCUUGAAGCUGUGCCUAUAGACAUAGACAAGACAAAAGUAAAAACUCAACCUGUGGACAGCGCAAAGAUAGAACCACCAGAUACUGGACUUUAUUAUGACGAAUAUCUUAAGCAAGUGAUUGAUGUGCUGGAAACAGAUAAUCAUUUCAGAGAAAAGCUCCAGAAAGCAGACAUAGAGGAAAUAAAGAGUGGGAGGCUAAGCAAAGAACUGGAUUUAGUAAGUCACCAUGUGAGGACAAAACUUGAUGAACUGAAAAGACAAGAAGUGGCAAGAUUAAGAAUGCUAAUUAAAGCUAAAUUGGAUUCCCUUCAAGAUACAGGCAUAGACCACCAUGCUCUUCUAAAACAAUUUGAUCACCUAAACCACCUGAAUCCUGACAAGUUUGAAUCUACAGAUUUAGAUAUGCUCAUCAAAGCGGCCACAAGUGAUCUGGAACACUAUGAUAAGACUCGGCAUGAAGAAUUUAAAAAAUAUGAAAUGAUGAAGGAACAUGAAAGGAGAGAGUAUUUAAAAACACUGAAUGAAGAAAAGAGAAAAGAAGAAGAAUCUAGAUUUGAAGAAAUGAGGAAAAAGCAUGAAAAUCAUCCCAAAGUUAAUCAUCCAGGAAGCAAAGAUCAACUAAAAGAGGUAUGGGAAGAGACUGAUGGAUUGGAUCCUAAUGACUUUGACCCCAAGACAUUUUUCAAAUUACAUGAUGUCAAUAACGAUGGCUUCCUGGAUGAACAGGAAUUAGAAGCCCUGUUUACUAAAGAGUUGGAAAAAGUAUAUGACCCCAAAAAUGAGGAGGAUGAUAUGGUAGAAAUGGAGGAAGAACGGCUUAGAAUGAGGGAACAUGUAAUGAAUGAGGUUGAUGCUAACAAAGACCGAUUAGUGACUCUAGAUGAGUUUUUGAAAGCUACAGAAAAAAAGGAAUUCUUGGAGCCGGAUAGCUGGGAGACAAUGGAUCAGCAACAGUUCUUCACAGAGGAAGAACUGAAAGAAUAUGAAAAUCUUAUCUCUUUACAAGAAAAUGAACUUAAGAAAAAGGCAGAUGAACUUCAGAAACAAAAGGAAGAGCUACAGCGUCAGCAUGACCAACUUGAGGCUCAGAAGCAAGAGUAUCAUCAGGUUGUACAGCAGAUGGAACAAAAAAAAUUAGAACAAGAAAUUCCUCCAUCAGGGCCUGGUGGAAAAUUGAAGUUUGAGCCACCUUCAGAAUGAGAGCAUAUUUUUUUUUUCAAACAGUCAUUUAAAGUCCGAAGACCACCAGAACUUGGAAGAAAACUGUUAAAUCAGCAUCUGUGUCAUCUUUUUACCACCCUUCCUUUUUUUCCUGCUCAAUAAAUAUUUUAAAUCAUAUAUGGAAUAAAGGAAGAUAUUUUGUAAAUGAGAACACAUCUUUUAAGGACAUGGAUAUUGAAGGAUUGAAGCCCACCAGAACCAGGAAGAAUAUAAACUCAGUGUCUGCUCUCACUCUCAUACGUCUCUUCCUUUUUAUUUGCUCUCCUUUAAUGAUUUAAUUAAGUAGCCAUAAUUAUGCCAUAAUUUAAUGGAACUUACUUCCUUAACUGUUUAAGUGAGAAAGCUCUGGAUUGCUUUUAAAGUAAAUUUAUAUUGUUGUCACUUCCUCAUGAAGACAGUCUCUUAUAGGUGCUUAUCAUCCCCUCUCUAUAAAAGUCUCUUUGAUGUUAAUAAUUCUUCUCCUAAGAAGACCACACUUUUCUCCCCAGUGUUUCCUGGUAAUUUCUUCCUACUUCCAGCAACCUUAACUGCUAGAAAUUCUUCUACUGAAUAGCUUUUGCUACCACUUCAGGUCAUUUUUUUGUUCGUGUUUUUGCUUCCUACUCUAUUACUUAAGGUCAGGUUCUGCUACAUAUAACAGAAAAACCAAAGAUUACAGUGUUUCAAACUAAAUACGAAUUUCCCCCUCUUAUAUAAAGGUAGGUGGUGUCGAGGUUCCUACCUCUCUGCUCUGUUAUCCUGAGUGCAUGAAUUUUAUCCUCCAGUUACCUCAUUCUCACUGUCCAAGAUUGCUUUUGGAGGCAGUGGGGAAGGGGAGGAAAAGGAAUUUUCCCCAGUUGAAUCAACUUCCUGGAGGACCACACAGCCUUUGAACUUACAUCUCAUUGGCCAUGUAGCUAAAGAAACUGAGAAAUCCAUGUGGCAUUGGGACCAGCCAAAAGUUAGGAUCUUUAAAGAAGGGGGUCAUAUUUAGUGGGCAGCUUUUAGUUUUAACCCAGACAGCUUUAUUGACUACCUAUAUAUCUGUUACACUCAUUGGAAACAUAGAAAACACUCACUUGCCCUGCUGCAAAAGAAAAUCCCCCAAAUCCAAUCCAUUAUUGCAUAUAGCUCAAAGGCCAUGAUAUGCUUGUAUAGUCUCCUCUGUCAGGUUAGGACGUGGCACCUAAUGUUCUGGCCAUCUACACCUUGCCACUAUCUAAAACAGCAAGGUGUCUGCCUCAUGAGUACCAAAUGCAUAAUGGUGGGAUAGGUACAGGAUACUGCAAUAAAACCAACCUUUCAGAAGAGGGGAAAAUAGCAGCCACUGAUCCAUAACACUUCAAAGUACCGCUUGGCAAAAAUAGCAAGGUCUCUCUGCUCGUCUAUAAAUAUAUUCCUUGGUUUUCACAGUGGGCAACCUGAUUCGCUUUUGUGGGAGGAACUCCCUUGUCUAAUGUCCUCAGGGGCCCUUGUUGCUGCCUUCUAGGAAGUUUUUAUUGCCCACUAGUUUUCAAGGACAUGUUUGCUAGGCAUUGGAAAGUGUGCUGGUCUUGGGGGCUGGACAGCUUUAGUACUUUACUUCCUGUUAUGGUCGGCUUUAGGGCAUUGGAGACUGUUUUAGAUACUUAGAGGCUGUCACAGGCUAGGUUUCGGGUUUGUGUUUGUGUUUGUUUUAUUUUGUUUGGCAAAAAGUUUCCCUAAAAACUUAGUAUGUAUCUAUCUGAUCUUUUUCAAUUAUUACCAUGAGUAACCACAAAGAUCUUGUCAGGACAGUUUUUAACAAAGAACAUCUUUUCCUUGCUGGCUUCUGUGUUCUCUCUCUCCCCUUGGGUCUCAAAGGAAUGGUACCUACUUGGAACCAUUUUAAAGUGUAGGCUUGGAUGGGAUGGCAACAGUCUGAGAUCUGAUCUCUUUCCUUAGGAUGGCUCCCAUUACUUGGCAGAAAAUUCUUAAGGGAAGGUUCUUGAAAAAGGUUGAGGAAGCUUUAGCAACUUCUUCAGAACCUUUAUUUAUAACUGUCUUCAGUCUGGAAUAUGGUAGCAGCUGACUUUUUCAGUUCUUCAGGGUUCUAAAUUUGGGACUUUGUCCAUUUAUUUUGUAGAGAGCCAUUCCAUCAGCAAAGCUAUAUUCUUUUCCAUGUGUGCAGUCUUGUUAACCUUAGCCUGACUCACAUCUCUCCUGUAGGACUUUGCUGAAAGAGGCUAGAAGCAGCCCACACAUGCUAGCAUUCUGAAGAAGUUCUAUCACUACUUCCUCUAGUAUCUUAACCUUUACUGGCAUGAGGUCUCACUGCGCAAAGCCCGACCUCCUCAACUAAGUUAACUCCAUAUUUAAGAUCCUUUUACUAACUGUACCUUACUUCUAGCUACCAAAUUCUGUAUAGGUCAGGAAUCCUGGUUGUAGAUAAUGGAACCUCCUUUAGUUAUUAAACAGACGGGGGACUGAUUAAGGGGUGCACAUAGCUCACAAAAUCUUUGGGAAGGCAGAUGAAAUAGAACCUAGGCGGAGCUCAUCAGAACUAUAUCACAAGAUUGCGCUGCCAAAGAAGCUGCUGCUUUGGGAACAAUCAAGAAGCUAUCUGCCAAAUCAAGAAGCCUACUGGAUUAAGGAAGCUGUGAACAGUUGCCAGCUCUAGAACUGUACCACCUCUGCCGUGUUUUGUUUUGGCAAAAGCGGACACCUCCUGUGCUGCUUCUCUCCCCAUGUAACUUGCUUUUGAGCAGAAGUCUCAACCAUGCGAUACAAUGCAGAAGGAGUUGAAACAGAGCCAGAGUUGGAUGAUGAGCUUCAUCGUUUUCAUGUCAGAUUUUUAUUACCUGAUGAAUCACUUCCACCUUUAACCACUGGUGCCUCUACUUAAUACUUCAGUUCUUCUUUUUUUUUUUUCUUUAAUUAAAGAGACUAAGAUAUAUUGA